rnacentral:tRNA from 1 species
GAGGGUAUAGCUCAAGUAGUAAAGCACAUGCUUAGCAUGCAUGAAGUCCCGGGUUCAAUUCCCUGGUACCUCCA